rnacentral:tRNA from 1 species
GGUUGUAGCUUAGUGGUCAAGCACUUGCCUAGCAUGUGUGAGGCCCUGGGUUCAAUUCUUAGCACCA